GCGGCUCCGACUCGCGGAGCCCACGUUCUUCCGGGGGCGCGCGCGCCUGUGCGGGUGCGUGCGUGAGCGUGCGUGAGCGUGCGUGAGCGUGCGCGCCCCCGCCGCCUGUGCCGGUGUUGCUCCCGCGCCCUCUGCCGCCGCAGCCGCAGCCGCUCGGGGUCCCCGAGACGCAACCCCGGCUGAGGAGCGCGUCGGCCGGCUGCCCAGCAGCGCCGCGGAGCUGAGGAGCGGAGCCGCGGAACCGGCGGGCGGGCGGGCGGGCGGACAGGGGGAAACUUUGUCUUCAGUCACAUGAAGUAGCUGCCGCCGUUAGCUGCUCACAGACGGGCACGUCUCAGUGGGGCGGCUGGGCUUCAGGAAGACGGCAGUAAAGCGACUCUCCCGAUGGAAUUAACCUACCAUGGCCGACCAGAGACAGCGCUCACUCUCUACCUCUGGGGAAUCACUGUACCAUGUUCUGGGGCUGGACAAGAACGCAACCUCAGAUGACAUUAAAAAAUCCUAUCGGAAACUUGCCUUGAAAUAUCACCCCGACAAGAACCCCGAUAACCCAGAGGCUGCAGACAAGUUUAAGGAGAUCAACAACGCCCACGCCAUCCUGACGGACGCCACAAAAAGAAACAUCUACGACAAGUACGGCUCGCUGGGGCUCUACGUGGCCGAGCAGUUUGGGGAGGAGAACGUGAACACCUACUUCGUGCUCUCCAGUUGGUGGGCCAAGCUGCUGUUCGUGGUGUGCGGGGCGCUCACCUGCUGCUACUGCUGCUGCUGCCUCUGCUGCUGCUUCAACUGCUGCUGCGGUCGCUGCAAGCCCCGGGCGCCUGCGGGCGACGACGCUGACUUCUACGUGUCCCCUGAGGACCUGGAGGCACAGCUGCAGUCGGACGAGCGGGGAGGGCUCUGACUGUGCGGGCGUGUGUGUGGUGGCGGCGGGGACUGUUGAGGUGUGAACGUGGACACUCGAGAGGCCACAGACACGCCCGUCGUCGUACAGCCCGCGUCGGCCACGGAGACCACCCAGCUCACGGCCGACUCCCACCCCAGCUACCACACCGACGGCUUCAACUAGGCCUAGGAGUGGCCGCGAUAGAGGCUAGCCCGGCCACUUCACCCCUAGAGUCACGGACCGUAGUCACAGAGAUGGGGAGCGCGCAGCCGCCGGCCCGCCGGGGCCCUGCCCACCUCUGUGCCCGCCCGCCCGUCGCCCCCACCACGUGAAGUGCGUCGCAUGCAGUAUUCAAAGCAGUUUAGCUACGGUCUCCUCCCCCUUCUGUUUCCUCCUUUUCUAAUAGCAUGUGCGGGUUCUGUUCCAUGUCUGUGCUGUGGACGUGCGGCGGCGUGACCGUGUUAACCAGACCGUGGAUCUUCCUCGGGGCUUACGAUUCGCUGCACCGACCACGGCUGCGUGCUGGGUCCCCGCCAGGCAGGCUGGGGCAGGAGGGGUGGCUCCUUUCCCUGGUGUCGGUGGGGGCCGGAGGCGGGUGCUGCCUGGCAGGGGCUGGGAGGUCCAGUCCGCACCGUGCUUGGCGGCGGUAUGGACGCAGGCAGAGCCUCUGGACGCCGUGCUGGGAAGGAGCUGGCAUGUCCUCCCACUCUGCCCGGUCCCGUCAGCACUUCCGUGGUGUUGGUUUGUGCGGGUCUGUUUGCCUUGGUUGCUUGGCCUUGCGGCAGGGUCUUUCCCAUGGGGAGGCUUGUUGUGGAAAGUGUGGGAGGCUUUGGUGACCGCAGGACCAUAUUUUCUACCUGGGCACAGCCUCGGUUUCCAUGUCACGUGGUCCUCGGGGCACACGCCCUCACCAGGCGCUUCUUCUACUGUGCUCCCACCCUGUCCCCAAGCCACGAGCUGGGCUGAUGGGGCCACAUUCCUCCGUCUCCUCCACAUUCCUUCAGGCCCACCUGGCCUUCUGGUGGUCCUUCCUGGACCUCUAGGAACCACAGAUGGUAGCAGUGACCGGUGUGCUGUUGUCAGAGGGGCUGACCGUCCAGGUCGCUGGUGGAGCGCGGCUGGAUAGCCCCGGGAAGCACCCGUGGGGAGCCCAGCCCUCUUCUCUGUGCUUCCCAGAGCUCAUACCCACCCCACUGUCCUUCGCCUGGUUCCUGGAGGAAGGACCAGCUGGACCAAAGGCACAGCCUGGUGCCCUUGGCUUGUGAGCCGGCGGCCUGACCGCGGACCCCACUCGCCAUUGUCUCGAGCAGAGCCUUCUGUGAACUGUGGGAAAUCAAUCCUUCUUGUCUUUGACCCAGAACUUGUGGGUGGUGCGUCUGCUGCAGGGGACAAGGAAACGGGUUAUGAUGGGCCCGUGCUGGCCCAGAGAUCACGGUGGCCCCCGCGCCCCCAGCAGCCCUGGAUGUGGCCUGGCUCCCUGCUGGGCCUGCACUGGUCACCGGAGACCCAAGCGGUUUCCACAGAAGGAACCAAUGGCUGCUGGUGCGUGUCUCCUGCGUGUCCAGUAGGUGAAGAACGAGGAGGACCGUGUCCGCUCAGGCGCGCCAGAGCGUGUUCCCAUGCCACUGUUUCCACCACCACCAGCCCACACCCCGCUCACCUGCUGGGCCUUGGCCCUUGUCUGCCCACCCACAGCUGUGCCGAGCACAGGUUCUUAUAGGCCUGGAACGGGCUGUGACAGGAGGGCAGCGUCCGUGCAGAACGUGGACAGGCUCCGAGCGCAGUGCUGAGGGGAGGCGGGCUGUGGCCGGGUUGUAGCUGUUGCAUUUGUGGCCACUCCCAGGUCCUUGGGCAGGUUUGUGGUCCUUUGUUUGUUUUCUGUUGUUGUUUUUGGCUUUUGUUCAUUAAAAUAAUCAUGAAGACAUUCAGUGAGAGAGAAAAUUUGCACUAUGAUCUUAAGUUAUGCUAAAAUCAGACAUCAUGAAAGGAUAAGAAAUUCACUGACCCACCCUGGACAAGGGAGGAGGUAAGACCACAGGUCCAUCUUCUGUGCCAGUCCCAACCCAGCAACAAGAACGCAGCUUUGUGACGUUUCUGAAAAUAACUUUCUGACCUGUUUUUCACUGGAAUGGCCAAGAACCAAGUUCAAAGCUGGGACUUGAGGUAGCAAGCCUCCCCACUGCGGGGGUUCCCUGCAGCUCUGUGGCCGGGAAACCUCGAGGCCCACCACACAGGUCCGAGCGAGUCCUCGACGGGUGGCUUCCACACGACAGAACGGGAAGGUCCUCUGGGGACCUGGGUUCAGGGGGAGGAGCAGGUCUGGAAGGUUGUCCAACCCGGGCUCCUGUAGAAUUUGUAAAAACUAAAUAAAUCAUGACAGUGAUGAUAACAACCCUAAA